CCUACGGGUGGCAGCAGUCGAGAAUCAUUCACAAUGGGGGAAACUCUGAUGGUGCGACGCCGCGUGGGGGAAUGAAGGUCUUCGGAUUGUAAACCCCUGUCAUGUGGGAGCAAACUAAAAAGAUAGUACCACAAGAGGAAGAGACGGCUAACUCUGUGCCAGCAGCCGCGGUAAUACAGAGGUCUCAAGCGUUGUUAGGAAUCACUGGGCGUAAAGGGUGCGUAGGCUGUUUCGUAAGUCGUGUGUGAAAGGCUCGGGCUCAACCCGCGGACGGCACAUGAUACUGCGAGGCUAGAGUAAAGGAGGGGGAGCCGGAAUGCACGGUGUAGCAGUGAAAUGCGUAGAUAUCG
rnacentral:rRNA from 1 species